rnacentral:misc_RNA from 1 species
UGAAGGUGGCAGAAACUCCAUAG